rnacentral:misc_RNA from 1 species
UCGUAACAAGGUCUCCGUUGGUGAACCAGCGGAGGGAUCAUUACCGAGUACUAUAACUCAUAACCCUUUGUGAACCUUUAUACCUGUUGCUUCGGCGGCGCGCCUCUCGGGGCGUGCCCGCCGGCAUUAUCAGAAUCUCUGUUCGAACCCGACGAUACAUCUGAGUGUUCUAAGCGAACUGUUAAAACUUUCAACAACGGAUCUCUUGGCUCCAGCAUCGAUGAAGAACGCAGCGAAACGCGAUAUGUAAUGUGAAUUGCAGAAUUCAGUGAAUCAUCGAAUCUUUGAACGCACAUGGCGCCUUCCAGUAUCCUGGGAGGCAUGCCUGUCCGAGCGUCGUUUCAACCCUCGAGCCCCCGUGGCCCGGCGUUGGGGAUCUGCCCAGGCAGUCCCCGAAAACCAGUGGCGGACCCGUCGGGCCCUUCCUUUGCGUAGUAAUAUCUGCCUCGCAUCGGGAGCCCUCGGGCUAUCCGGCCUCUAAACCCCCCUCAAGCCCGCUCCGGCGGCACCAAGGUUGACCUCGGAUCAGGUAGGAAUACCCGCUGAACCUAAGCAUAUC